rnacentral:rRNA from 1 species
UGGGGAACAUUGCACAAUGGGCGGAAGCCUGAUGCAGCAACGCCGCGUGCGGGAUGACGGCCUUCGGGUUGUAAACCGCUUUCGCCUGUGACGAAGCGUGAGUGACGGUAAUGGGUAAAGAAGCACCGGCUAACUACGUGCCAGCAGCCGCGGUGAUACGUAGGGUGCGAGCGUUGUCCGGAUUUAUUGGGCGUAAAGGGCUCGUAGGUGGUUGAUCGCGUCGGAAGUGUAAUCUUGGGGCUUAACCCUGAGCGUGCUUUCGAUACGGGUUGACUUGAGGAAGGUAGGGGAGAAUGGAAUUCCUGGUGGAGCGGUGGAAUGCGCAGAUAUCAGGAGGAACACCAGUGGCGAAGGCGGUUCUCUGGGCCUUUCCUGACGCUGAGGAGCGAAAGCGUGGGGAGCGAACAGGCUUAGAUACCCUGGUAGUCCACGCUGUAAACGGUGGGUACUAGGUGUGGGGUCCAUUCCACGGGUUCCGUGCCGUAGCUAACGCUUUAAGUACCCCGCCUGGGGAGUACGGCCGCAAGGCUA